UGGGGAGUAGCCAAGCCAGGCAAGGCACCGGGUUUUGGCCCCGGUAUUCGCAGGUUCGAAUCCUGCCUCCCCAG
rnacentral:tRNA from 1 species